rnacentral:rRNA from 1 species
GUAAGAGCUCGUAGGCGGCUUGUCGCGUCUGCUGUGAAAGCCCGGGGCUUAACUCCGGGUGUGCAGUGGGUACGGGCAGGCUAGAGUGCAGUAGGGGUAACUGGAAUUCCUGGUGUAGCGGUGAAAUGCGCAGAUAUCAGGAGGAACACCGAUGGCGAAGGCAGGUUACUGGGCUGUUACUGACGCUGAGGAGCGAAAGCAUGGGGAGCGAACAGGAUUAGAUACCCUGGUAGUCCAUGCCGUAAACGUUGGGCACUAGGUGUGGGGGACAUUCCACGUUUUCCGCGCCGUAGCUAACGCAUUAAGUGCCCCGCCUGGGGAGUACGGCCGCAAGGCUAAAACUCAAAGGAAUUGACGGGGGCCCGCACAAGCGGCGGAGCAUGCGGAUUAAUUCGAUGCAACGCGAAGAACCUUACCAAGGCUUGACAUACACCGGAUCGUUCCAGAGAUGGUUCUUCCCUUUUGGGCUGGUGUACAGGUGGUGCAUGGUUGU